UUAAGUGUUAGCAAAAUGCAUCAACACCUGCCUCCUUCCGUAAAGUACUUGAUGGCCUACACAUCAAGGCAUUGCAAAGCUUAUUUUAUAAGUAGUUUUUAAUCACAAAGUAAAAUUGAGCAAUAAUCACUUGAGCAUUUGAAGUACCUGUCCACGUUUUUCUGUCAUUGAAUUUAUAUAACCAUUCCUGGUUUACUUUAAUGUGACACUAGUAGCAGACCCAUUCUCUUUCAUGGUUUUUUCUUGUUUUUUCACACAAGUGCCUCAGAAAAAAGUAUAUUGCUCUAUAUUAGAUGAAAUAAAUACAAUUGUGCAGAACAAUUAAAAAAGAAUUAGUAAAUGUCUAUAUUGAUGAAUGGGUGCUAAUUGCAAUCAGUUAUUGAGGAUCAUCUGCUAAAAGGCAAGUCCUUUUAAGGCAGCUCGAUUAAAAUAUAGUGUUUGCCUGUCUUAUCAACUAGUGUGAAAAUAUUUUUUAUAACAUACAUUUCAUCUCUUUCAACAUUAAUUUAUGUAAUACCCUGAAGCUGAAGUGGUUGCUGUAAAAGCUAGUAGAAUCUGCUGCUCCCGAGCAAUAAGAAAAAUGGUUUUAUACAACCAAAGAAAAAUCUCACUCUCCUGUGUAAUAAGGAAAAUGAAUAUUUUCUAACGAGCUAGAAUCCUGUUGUGCUGCUGCUGGUGGUUCCUAAUUUUACUACAGGCAUAGUUUCUCAAUUCUUCAGCUCAUUACAGAGACAAAUAUCACACAGUUGCAGAAAACUAUCCCAAAAUACUAAGAGUCAAGCAUCUUGGGACAGCAAGAAACAUGCACAGAAAGCUCACUACCUUGGACCCCAGGAGAGAAGACUUUAGCAUCUUCAAGGAUCUGCUUGGUAGAAUACUGUGGCAUAUAGCCUUGGAGGGAGGAAACGCUGAAGAAGGAAGGUAAUUAUUCUAGAAUCACCUCUACAAGCUCAGGAAUCGUACAUGCAGACUAAAAGGAAAUCAGGCAAAAAUACCAGGGGGCCUGCAUGGAUAAAAAAGGACAUUCUGGACAAAGUCAGACACAAAAACGAAACCUGCACUGGGUGGAAACAAGGCCACGUACCCUGGAAGGAAUACAAAGAAACUGUCCAAGAUGACAGGGAUCAGUUCAGGAAAGCUAAAGCACUGAUGCAAUUAAAUCUGGCCAGUGAUGGCAACAAGAAAAAAUUCUAAAAGCUACAUUGGUGAUAAAAGUAAGACUAGGCAAAAUGUGGGCUCUGUGUCUGGAAGAAAUUGAGAGACCUGGUUACCCACAAGGUGGAGACGACUGAAGUAUCUAAUUACAUUUUUCCUUUGGUCUUCACUGUCAAGUGCUCCAGAUACGAUGUCAAAAAGGUAAAGGCAGGGACUGGAGAAUGAAGAGCAGCCCACUGUAUGAUAAGAUCAGGUUUGAGACCAUCUAGGGAACCUGAAGGUAUACAAGUCCAUUGGACCUUGAUUAGACAUCUCUGUAAGUCUUGAGAAAACUGAUGCAUGAUGUUGCUAUGCCACAAUAUAGUUGACAAUAUAUGAGAAGUUGUGACAGUAAGAUGAACUUCCUACUGACUGAAAAAGGAGAAAGAUAACAUCAAUUUUUAAGUAGGUGAGAAGGGAAGACCUAAGGAAGUAGAGGCUGGUCAGUCUCACUACUGUGCUUGGCAUAAUUGUGGAACAGAUCCUUCUAGAAAUUAUUCUAAGGUAGAUGGAAAAUAAAGAGAUGAUUGCUGACGGACAGCCAGGCUUCACUAAGGGUAAAUCAUGCUUAAAAUUUGGAAAAGGCAACAGGCAUAAUCUACAGGGUAUUUGUUCAAAGAGUUUGCCACACAAAAUAUUGUCCCACACAACAUUUAGUCUCUAAAUUGGAGAGUCAUGGGUUUGACUGAUAUACUACUCAGUGAACAAGGAAUUGGCUGGCUGGUUGCACUUAAAGUCUUGUGUUCAAUGGCUUGAUGUCCGGAUGGACACCAGUGGUGUUCCUCAGGUGCUGGUAUUGGGAUGGUGCCAUUUAACAUUUUUAUUGGUGACAUGGGCAGUGAGAUUGAGUACACCUUAGGAAAAUUUGCUGAUAACACUGACACACUGAAGGGAAGGGAUGCCAUGCAGAGAGAUUGAGAGGCUUGAGAAUGGCCUAUGGGAAUCACAGGAAUCUCAAAAAGGCUAAAUGGAAGGUCCUGCACCUGUGUCUGGGCAAUCCUAAACACAAAUACAGGCUGGUCAAGGACCGAAUUGAGAGAAGCCCUGAAGAGCAGGACUCAGGACUGUUGAUUGAUGGGAAACUCAAUAUAAUAUGUUUAUAGACCAGAAAACCUGGGCUGCAUCAGAAAAAGCAUGGCCGGCUGGUCACAGAGGUGAUUCCUUCCUUCUACUCUGCUCUUCUGAGACCCUCACCAGAAGUACUGUCUCCAGCUCUAGGGGGUCCAAUGCAAGAAGGACAUGGACAUAUUGUAGAAGAUAUAGAGAAGGGCCACAAAGAUGAUCAAAGGUCUGGAACAGUCUGAAGAACAGCAGGUUCUGGAGAGAUCUUACUAGAGCAUUCUAGCACUUAAAGGGGCCUACAAAAAAGAUGGAGAGGGACUUUUUACUUUAGGACAAGGAGGAAUGACUUUAAACAGAAAGACAUUAUAUCUGGGUUAGUGACAAGGAAAAAAUUCUUCACUAUGAGAAUUGUGAAGUGCUGGAACAGGUCUCCCAGAGAAGCUGUAGUGUCUCCAUCCCUGGAAGAGGUCGGGGCCAGGUUGUGUGGUCUAAUGAAAGGUGUCCCUGCCCAUGGCAAGAUGGUUGAACUAAACGAUCCUUAAGGAUGCCCUCGAACUUGAACCGUGCUAUGAUUCUAAGUAAAAACUAAGCAGCAUUUCAGGAAGCAUAAUUGGGAGCUUUGAAUCAGAGAAAGUUUUCAUUUCAAUUUAAAUUAGGUUGAUAGGUCGUAUUUUUCUUGCAUCAUGAUGUAACAUAAAAGAAAAAACAGGAAGGCAUGAUAGUCCUGUAAAUGUCCUAUUAAUGAAGAGUCCCAGGAUGUUGUUGAGCUUGCUGUGGCUCAAGUUUCUUUGCACUGAUUUAGUGAGGAUGCGGGAGCCAAAUUACAGUUGUUGAAUGGGUUGGAAUUCCAGCUCUGGUUGUGCAGUGGCUGGACAAGUCCUUUCAAUCACUGGAAAUAAACUAGAAAGGCUGCUGAUUUAACAAUUUAAAUUAUUAUUAGUGUGACAUUUCUACAUGUAUUUAAACAACAAAAACUGAG